rnacentral:rRNA from 1 species
CCCAGACUCCUACGGGAGGCAGCAGUGGGGAAUAUUGCACAAUGGGGGGAACCCUGAUGCAGCGACGCCGCGUGGGCGAGGAAGUAUUUCGGUGUGUAAAGCCCUAUCGGCAGGGAAGAAGAAAUGACGGUACCUGAAUAAGAAGCACCGGCUAAAUACGUGCCAGCAGCCGCGGUCAUACGUAGGAUCCGAGCAUUAUCCGGAGUGACUGGGUGUAAAGAGUUGCGUAGGUGGCAUAAUAAGUAGCUAGUGAAAUCUGGUGGCUCAACCAUUCAGACUAUUAGCUAAACUGUUAAGCUCGAGACCGUUAGGGGUAACUGGAAUUUCUAGUGUAGGAGUGAAAUCCGUAGAUAUUAGAAGGAACACCAAUAGCGUAGGCAGGUUGCUGGGACGGUUCUGACGCUAAGGCACGAAAGCGUAGGGAGCAAACGGGAUUAGAUACCCCUGUA